rnacentral:lncRNA from 1 species
AGCAUAUCAACAUGAAAAUACUGUGCCUUAACAUUUUUUUUAGCAUGUUUAAGUAACUUUUCAGCAUGAUUAAUUAAUUUUUCAGCAUGUUUAAUUAACUUUUUCAGCAUGUUUGAUUAAUUUUUCAGCAUGUUUAGUUGACUUCCAACAUGCUAAAAUAGUAAUUCUCUACAUUUUCUACAUAUUAAUUUGUUCUCCACAUUUAAGUACAUCCCUAACAUGUUAACACAUUCUUUUAUAUUUUACUAAUUUCUUAUAUUCUCAUUAUGGUUUAUAACACUUAAUUCACGAGCACAUGUCUUGACACAAUUACCACACUCGUGACACCCCUCAUGAACACACAUCACAUUGUUGUAUCCACGAAUCACAGUUGUCCUUUAUCACCACUUGAUUGAACAUUUAGCCAGCAUGCCUAUAGGUUAAUGACAUAAUAAUAACUUAUUUGUCUUUGCAUGUAAUCACAUUAAUAAACGUUAAUUAAUCAAGAGGCAAACGUGGGACUAUUAUGUGCUAGUUGUUGUCCAAAGUGUUACGCGCUUCGAGUCCUAGGCAACAUAGCUUUACUUUUGUCUAGAACAAAAAUCCAAAAUAGUAAAGUCAAACGCCUCUUGGACGAUAGGCGGGACAUUAAGUAUUACUAAAAACAUCAGUUUUAUCCUUGUCGUAGAGUGCCCUUAGACUUGACCUUCAGCCUAGGCAGGGUAGGAUAGGUAGUCAUUCAAAAAUGAUGAUCCCAACAGAUAUUAACGGCGAGGCUAAUGACAUUAUUACUUGUCUAAGAGUUCGGUCCUUGGCUCGGAUGAUGACUAACAAGUUGGUUUCUGAUCCGAAUAA